GAAAAAGGAAAGCAUAUAAAAUGAAGCCUAAACGUGAAAUAGAAAAGGGAAGAGGAGAGAGAGAGUGAAAAAAUUCAAAAAAAUUGAGGAAGGUCCCGCCACAAAGUCGUUAUUCAGAAGCAGAAGGAAUGGCGGAAUUCCCUUCCCCUUUAGAACGCACCGUUGCUUCUGCUCUGCUCCUUCUCUCCAUUUCACCAUCUCCUCCAUCUACACCCAUUUCUGAAGAUGAAUGGCUGUUUGAGGAGAAAAAUAUUGAAGGAAAAUGCUCCAGAGAGAUGUCGGCGUUUUGUGAGCAUUCCAACUCUUCCUCUUCCAUACUCACUACAUCAGAUGCAUCCUCCCAUACUCCACCGCUGGAACGCUUACUGUUCUCUACUUCUCCUUGUCGCCACCAGCUAAAGCUUAAUGUCGUGAGAAAGAGUCGUUCGAAGUUAGUAAGGAUUUCCGAGAACCGGAAUCUAAGUUCUACAGACGAAGUGACCUUGUCUUCAGGUUCGGCGUCCUCGGAGACGACUUCUUGUUUGUCAAGCAGUUCAAGCGUGGUCACAAGCACGCCGAUCCAUCGCCUGGUUACGAGAGCAGAGAAGAAAUUAGAAAUGAUUCGUCAUGCAUGGAGGAAAAAGCAGAUCGCAUCGGCGCACAUGCGGCGGCGUGCGGAAGCCAUUCUGAGUUACCUCUCCGAUGGCUGUUCGUCAGAGGUGAAGAUACGGAAAGUGAUUGGUGACAGUCCUGACACAAGCAAAGCUCUCAGAAUGUAAUUACUAAUUCAGUCUUCUCUCUCCCAAACUCAUCACCACCUUCCCUCUAAACUCAUGCUUUUAUCCAAUGCCUCCAAUUCUCACACAUUUACUCUUUCACGACUGUUGAAAUUGGAAGAGAUCAAAAGAUCUGGAACAGGUGGGCGUCAGGAUCCCUAUAUGUACAAGAUUGCUUGACAAACUCUGAGUUAAUGAUCCGUUCAUUUAUUGCUUCGACAAACUCUUAACUCAGCCAUCGAGAGUCUCAGGAAAAUCCGUUUUGAUUAUGCCUGCGUUGUAAACAAAUUAAAUAUCGUAGGAUAACACAAAAGGAUGCUAGAAUUGGUGAUCCAAGCUUCAUACGAAUCGUACAGAGCUUUGAAGUAUAGAUCUUAGAUUGUUUCCCCAUUUUGGAAUCUCCCCGUUAAUAUUUCCUGUUAGGGGAAGAAUCAUUGAUGAAUUCAAAUUUGUGAAAGAUAGCUAUAAUAAUGUUGUAAAAUAAGCCUGGGAAUAUGCCACUGAUUGACUACCCGCUCCUUGUGAUUAUGGGUUAGUCUUAUUCUUAUA